UGUGAGUGUGGAGGAAGUCUUAGGGGAGGCUCUCAAUAGAAUAUUCCUCAGCUUUCUGCUGAUGUAGCAAGAUGAGAUGUAUUCUCUUAACUUCAUCUCUACUUGGGUGUGGUUGGCAA